AUAGCGUCAGCGUCGUUCGUUCAUUCUCGUAGUCGCUUGCCGUUUGCCUUUGUCAUUUUCUCGCGUUGUUUUUUCGAGGUAGUCGUCGGUUUUUUUCUGUUAGUCGCUGCGGUUGUUGAUUUUUAUUAUGGAAUGUACAACAACAGCGACAACAGCAACAGCAACAGCA